rnacentral:rRNA from 1 species
AGACCCGAAACCCGGUGAUCUAGCCAUGGGCAGGUUGAAGGUUGGGUAACACUAACUGGAGGACCGAACCGACUAAUGUUGAAAAAUUAGCGGAUGACCUGUGGCUGGGGGUGAAAGGCCAAUCAAACCGGGAGAUAGCUGGUUCUCCCCGAAAGCUAUUUAGGUAGCGCCUCGUGAAUUCAUCUCCGGGGGUAGAGCACUGUUUCGGCUAGGGGGCCAUCCCGGCUUACCAACCCGAUGCAAACUGCGAAUACCGGAGAAUGUUAUCACGGGAGACACACGGCGGGUGCUAACGUCCGUCGUGAAGAGGGAAACAACCCAGACCGCCAGCUAAGGUCCCAAAGUCAUGGUUAAGUGGGAAACGAUGUGGGAAGGCCCAGACAGCCAGGAUGUUGGCUUAGAAGCAGCCAUCAUUUAAAGAAAGCGUAAUAGCUCACUGGUCGAGUCGGCCUGCGCGGAAGAUGUAACGGGGCUAAACCAUGCACCGAAGCUGCGGCAGCGACACUGUGUGUUGUUGGGUAGGGGAGCGUUCUGUAAGCCUGCGAAGGUGGCCUGUGAGGGUUGCUGGAGGUAUCAGAAGUGCGAAUGCUGACAUAAGUAACGAUAAAGCGGGUGAAAAGCCCGCUCGCCGGAAGACCAAGGGUUCCUGUCCAACGUUAAUCGGGGCAGGGUGAGUCGACCCCUAAGGCGAGGCCGAAAGGCGUAGUCGAUGGGAAACGGGUUAAUAUUCCCGUACUUGGUGUUACUGCGAAGGGGGGACGGAGAAGGCUAUGUUGGCCGGGCGACGGUUGUCCCGGUUUAAGCGUGUAGGUGUGUGUUCCAGGUAAAUCCGGUUCACUUUAACACUGAGGCGUGACGACGAGGCACUACGGUGCUGAAGCAACAAAUGCCCUGCUUCCAGGAAAAGCCUCUAAGCAUCAGGUAACAUCAAAUCGUACCCCAAACCGACACAGGUGGUCAGGUAGAGAAUACCAAGGCGCUUGAGAGAACUCGGGUGAAGGAACUAGGCAAAAUGGUGCCGUAACUUCGGGAGAAGGCACGCUGACACGUAGGUGAAGUGAUUUACUCAUGGAGCUGAAGUCAGUCGAAGAUACCAGCUGGCUGCAACUGUUUAUUAAAAACACAGCACUGUGCAAACACGAAAGUGGACGUAUACGGUGUGACGCCUGCCCGGUGCCGGAAGGUUAAUUGAUGGGGUCAGCGCAAGCGAAGCUCCUGAUCGAAGCCCCGGUAAACGGCGGCCGUAACUAUAACGGUCCUAAGGUAGCGAAAUUCCUUGUCGGGUAAGUUCCGACCUGCACGAAUGGCGUAAUGAUGGCCAGGCUGUCUCCACCCGAGACUCAGUGAAAUUGAACUCGCUGUGAAGAUGCAGUGUACCCGCGGCAAGACGGAAAGACCCCGUGAACCUUUACUAUAGCUUGACACUGAACAUUGAGCCUUGAUGUGUAGGAUAGGUGGGAGGCUUUGAAGUGUGGACGCCAGUCUGCAUGGAGCCGACCUUGAAAUACCACCCUUUAAUGUUUGAUGUUCUAACGUGGACCCGUUACCCGGGUUGCGGACAGUGUCUGGUGGGUAGUUUGACUGGGGCGGUCUCCUCCUAAAGAGUAACGGAGGAGCACGAAGGUUGGCUAAUCCUGGUCGGACAUCAGGAGGUUAGUGCAAUGGCAUAAGCCAGCUUGACUGCGAGCGUGACGGCGCGAGCAGGUGCGAAAGCAGGUCAUAGUGAUCCGGUGGUUCUGAAUGGAAGGGCCAUCGCUCAACGGAUAAAAGGUACUCCGGGGAUAACAGGCUGAUACCGCCCAAGAGUUCAUAUCGACGGCGGUGUUUGGCACCUCGAUGUCGGCUCAUCACAUCCUGGGGCUGAAGUAGGUCCCAAGGGUAUGGCUGUUCGCCAUUUAAAGUGGUACGCGAGCUGGGUUUAGAACGUCGUGAGACAGUUCGGUCCCUAUCUGCCGUGGGCGCUGGAGAACUGAGGGGGGCUGCUCCUAGUACGAGAGGACCGGAGUGGACGCAUCACUGGUGUUCGGGUUGUCAUGCCAAUGGCACUGCCCGGUAGCUAAAUGCGGAAGAGAUAAGUGCUGAAAGCAUCUAAGCACGAAACUUGCCCCGAGAUGAGUUCUCCCUGAGACUUAGAGUCUCCUGAAGGAACGUUGAAGACGACGACGUUGAU